rnacentral:rRNA from 1 species
CUGGGAUUUCUUAGGGAAAAGAUUCCCAUCAACCGGCCGAUUACAAUCGCAACGUCCGCCGCCUUAGACACGCGCCACGCGUCCUGUGUGAGGUGAAGCCAUCACCGCUCAUCCCCUUCUUAUCUUCAUUCGUCUGCAUCUAGCUGCAUGCUCAGAUGCAUAUCUCAAUCCAAGCGUUGACCUUGUCCAUGACGAGUAGCACCCCAUGGCCGGUGGCCAGUACAGCGGCCUGCGAGUAUGCACUAGCGGCUGAUUUUGUUGAUGCUGGAAGCCGGCCACUCGGGUGCUGCGUGUCGGCCGCGCACGGCUGCCGGGCUGCACCGCCCGCGUCUGCUAGGCACGCCGCCGUUGAAGCCUGCCGUCGCUCGUCGUUCCACGUCAGGACCAUUCGGGAGGAUUAAUCUGUGGGCUUCUCCCACAUGCCAUUCCUGGUGGAGUGGGGCGAAGAUGGCGAAGUAUACGCUGUGUUUUGGAUCUGCUGGGGGCACUGACCAGACAAUGGAAAAUCCUCUGUUCCGAGGCCCAGGAUGCUCUUCUUCUCCGGUGCUUAAGACUCUUGGAUCAUCGAAGAGGGUAGUUGCUUAGGAUCACCCGGAGCCAAUGAGUAGUUGGGGCUGACUGGAAAUAGGAUACCUAAUUCUUAGCUUUGAUCCUUUCUGUUAUCCUAUUCUAGAUCGGUUCCUUUGCUCUAGAAUAAAAGACUCCUUCGGUGAAUGGUGAUACGCAAUGAAUAACUUCAACGUAUGCAAGUGAAUGAAAGUUUAGGUGAAAUUUGCACCAGCUGAUUAGUUGAACGUCGAUGGAGCUUAUACGCUAAGGAGUAGUUGCCCCGGGGCCAUCUCGGCGGCGGCGGAAGCUAUCGCUGACCUGGGGCGGUCAUCAGGGGCGAUACGCGUUCAAGUAGAUUCUGAUUCCCAGCUGCUAAUAUUUUCGCCCAACCAACAGGAAGGCGGAUUCCACCAGCGGCCGAAAACUACUUCAAAUGUAUUAGUAACUUCUUUUGAUUUCAAGGUUCUCCAUCUUUAAUCAAGUAUAGUAUUUUUUUUUAAAACUUUGGCAACCUUUAUUAAACAACGAUCAUAUCUGUUACAGGAGGAGGAAUAAGGAAAUUAGGAGUUUUAUCACGGCACGCAUCAGAAUACUUCCUUCUGUAACUUGCUCGAUCGCACGCACAGCGGCAUUGCACAAUGCACUAUAUUGCCCUGCCGAAAGAACUCAUCAUCUCCCGGCAGUCAUCGAUCAUCACAGCUCCCGAUGCACGAUAAUCCGCUGUCUAUCUUUAGUCAAGUUUACUGAGAACAAAACAAUAUGAAAUUAUAUUUAAUUUACUCAGUAUUGUAGAUGUCGAUAACGC